rnacentral:rRNA from 1 species
UAUUACAAUGAAGAGUUUGAUCCUGGCUCAGGAUGAACGCUAGCUACAGGCUUAACACAUGCAAGUCGAGGGGCAGCAUGGUCUUAGCUUGCUAAGGCCGAUGGCGACCGGCGCACGGGUGAGUAACACGUAUCCAACCUGCCGUCUACUCUUGGACAGCCUUCUGAAAGGAAGAUUAAUACAAGAUGGCAUCAUGAGUCCGCAUGUUCACAUGAUUAAAGGUAUUCCGGUAGACGAUGGGGAUGCGUUCCAUUAGAUAGUAGGCGGGGUAACGGCCCACCUAGUCUUCGAUGGAUAGGGGUUCUGAGAGGAAGGUCCCCCACAUUGGAACUGAGACACGGUCCAAACUCCUACGGGAGGCAGCAGUGAGGAAUAUUGGUCAAUGGGCGAGAGCCUGAACCAGCCAAGUAGCGUGAAGGAUGACUGCCCUAUGGGUUGUAAACUUCUUUUAUAAAGGAAUAAAGUCGGGUAUGGAUACCCGUUUGCAUGUACUUUAUGAAUAAGGAUCGGCUAACUCCGUGCCAGCAGCCGCGGUAAUACGGAGGAUCCGAGCGUUAUCCGGAUUUAUUGGGUUUAAAGGGAGCGUAGAUGGAUGUUUAAGUCAGUUGUGAAAGUUUGCGGCUCAACCGUAAAAUUGCAGUUGAUACUGGAUAUCUUGAGUGCAGUUGAGGCAGGCGGAAUUCGUGGUGUAGCGGUGAAAUGCUUAGAUAUCACGAAGAACUCCGAUUGCGAAGGCAGCCUGCUAAGCUGCAACUGACAUUGAGGCUCGAAAGUGUGGGUAUCAAACAGGAUUAGAUACC